UUUAAAUCAAUUAAACCAAGCAAUCUCAUUAAAGUAAACCAACAAUAUUAACCAGCGGAAGACUUAACCAAAAAUCCAAUAAAACAAUUCCAUUAAACCAACAAGUUCAACCAAACAUUAUUCCAAAACAUGAUCAUCCUAACAUGUUUCUAAAUUCCAUUCUAACACCCUAACAAAUCCAACAAUAAUCUAAAACACCUAUGAGCACCUAGAUCAUCCUCUUCUCCUCGCCAUGAUUCCACGGAUCACACUUUGCUUUUACCUGCAACAAAGAAAGAGAUGCAUAAGUAUUUCAUAAAUACUUAGUGAGGGCGAUCCUCCCAUCUACGAGCUAUACACUCAAGCAAUGAGAUAACACCCACAUAUAUAACAAAAACAAACCAUCUAGCAAGCUAAACAUCCAAUAACACAUCCAAUUCACCUACAAAUCAUCACAAAACAUGUCACUCGAUCCCAAUCGCUUAGAUAAGCUCAUGGUCACGCACUCACCUUAACAAGGUUAUUUGAAUUACAAAAAAAACCAGGAAAGACUCUCCUCGUGACUGCAACAGCCAAA
rnacentral:lncRNA from 1 species